ensembl:snRNA U6 U6 spliceosomal RNA
GUGCUCGCUUCGGCAGCACAUAUACUAAAACUGGAACGAUGCAGACAAGAUUGGCACGGCCCCUGCGCAAGGGACACGUAGAGCAAGAACACAUUAGUGGUUCAA